rnacentral:lncRNA from 1 species
AUAAAAUAAAAAACUAUUUGUUAAGCGCCAAAAUUUUUCACUAAUUUUCAGUUCCCACUUUUAUUUCAUUCCCACACAGCAAUAAUAUGAAUUAAUUAUAUUUUCUUUACCAAUUACCCAAAUAUAUGAAGUGACAAAAAAAAAAAUCAAAGACACAAAAAUGGAACUUGAGAUCUAUUCCUAAUCCCUCCGCCGUCGAAGA